CGGACGGGUGAGUAACGCGUAGGAACCUGUCACAGAGUGGGGGAUAACGCUGGGAAACCGGCGCUAAUACCGCAUGAGGUUCUUUUGGGAGACCGGAAGAAAGAAAGCAGAGAUGCGCUGUGUGAGGGGCCUGCGUCCGAUUAGCUAGUUGGUGGGGUAAAGGGCUUACCAAGGCGACGAUCGGUAGCUGGUCUGAGAGGAUGGUCAGCCACACUGGGACUGAGACACGGCCCAG
rnacentral:rRNA from 1 species